AUUGAAGGCUGAAAUUCGCCUUCAUGAAGCUGGAAUUGCUAGUAAUGGCAGGUCAGCAUACUGCCGUGAAUACGUUCCCGGGCCUUGUACACACCGCCCGUCACACCAUGAGAGUUGGAAAUACCCGAAGCCUGUGAGCUAACUUAAAGAGGCAGCAGUCGAAGGUAGAGCCAAUGAUUGGGGUGAAGUCGUAACAAGGUAAC
rnacentral:rRNA from 1 species